rnacentral:rRNA from 1 species
GUUAGGAAUAUUGGACAAUGGGCGCAAGCCUGAUCCAGCCAUGCCGCGUGAGUGAUGAAGGCCUUCGGGUUGUAAAGCUCUUUAGCCGAUGAUUAUAAUGACUGUAGUCGGAAAAUAAGCCCCGGCUAACUUCGUGCCAGCAGCCGCGGUAAUACGAAGGGGGCGAGCGUUAUUCGGAAUCACUGGGCGUAAAGCGUACGUAGGCGGCUUUGCAAGUUGGGAGUGAAAGCCCAGGGCUCAACCCUGGAAUUGCUCUCAAAACUGCAAGGCUCGAAUUCGGGAGAGGAUAGCGGAAUUGUCAGUGUAGCAGUGAAAUGCGUAGAUAUUGACAGGAACACCAGUGGCGUAAGCGGCUAUCUGGACCGAUAUUGACGCUGAGGCACGAAAGCGUGGGGAUCAAACAGGAUUAGAAACCCCAGUAGUCC